GUCACACUGCCAAGAAAAUCUUCUAGCGUUUAAUUAUAACCUACCCGUACCGCAAACCGACACAGGUAGUCGAGGCGAGUAGCCUCAGGUGAGCGAGAGAACUCUCGUUAAGGAACUCGGCAAAAUGACCCCGUAACUUCGGGAGAAGGGGUGCUCUACAUUUGUAGAGCCGCAGUGAAUAGGCCCAAGCGACUGUUUAUCAAAAACACAGCUCUCUGCUAAAUCGUAAGAUGAUGUAUAGGGGGUGACGCCUGCCCGGUGCUGGAAGGUUAAGAGGAGUGCUUAGCGUAAGCGAAGGUAUGAAUUGAAGCCCCAGUAAACGGCGGCCGUAACAAUAACGGUCCUAAGGUAGCGAAAUUCCUUGUCGGGUAAGUUCCGACCCGCACGAAAGGCGUAACGAUUUGGGCACUGUCUCAACGAGAGACUCGGUGAAAUUUUAGUACCUGUGAAGAUGCAGGUUAUCCGCGACAGGACGGAAAGACCCCAUGGAGCUUUACUGCAAGUUGAUAUUGAGUAUCUGUUGCACAUGUACAGGAUAGGUAGGAGCCAUUGAUCUGAGGACGCUAGUUUUCAGUGAGGCGAUGUUGGGAUACUACCCUUGUGUCAUGGCUACUCUAACCCGCAUGCCUAAUCGGCAUGGGAGACAGUGUCUGCUGGGCAGUUUGACUGGGGCGGUCGCCUCCUAAAGAGUAACGGAGGCGCUCAAAGCUUCCCUCAGCAUGGUUGGAAAUCAUGCGUAGAGUGUAAAGGUAUAAGGGAGAUUGACUGCGAGACUUACAAGUCGAGCAGGUACGAAAGUAGGACUUAGUGAUCCGGUGGUACCGCAUGGAAGGGCCAUCGCUCAACGGAUAAAAGCUACCCUGGGGAUAACAGGCUUAUCUCCCCCAAGAGUUCACAUCGACGGGGAGGUUUGGCACCUCGAUGUCGGCUCGUCGCAUCCUGGGGCUGUAGUCGGUCCCAAGGGUUGGGCUGUUCGCCCAUUAAAGCGGCACGCGAGCUGGGUUCAGAACGUCGUGAGACAGUUCGGUCCCUAUCCGUCGCGGGCGUAGGAAAUUUGAGAGGAUCUGCCCUUAGUACGAGAGGACCGGGGUGGACUUACCGCUGGUGUACCAGUUGUCUUGCCAAAGGCAUCGCUGGGUAGCUAUGUAGGGAACGGAUAAACGCUGAAAGCAUCUAAGUGUGAAACCAACCUCAAGAUGAGAUUUCCCAUUCUUUAUGAAUUAAGAGCCCUGAGAGAUGAUCAGGUAGAUAGGCUAGAAGUGGAAGGACAGUGAUGUUUGGAGCGGACUAGUACUAAUAGCUCGAGGACUUUACC
rnacentral:rRNA from 1 species